GGGGAUGUGGUCUAGGGGUAUGAUUUCUCUUUCGCACACUGGUCCACCAACAAGCAAAUCGGUCGAUCCAGACAGCUAUAGAGACGGUCCAGGGUUCAAUUCCCUGCAUCUCCA